AUUGAACGCUGGCGGCAGGCCUAACACAUGCAAGUCGAACGAGUGGCGGACGGGUGAGUAAUGUCUGGGAAACUGCCCGAUGGCGGGGGAUAACUACUGGAAAAGGUAGCUAAUACCGCAUACCAUCGGAUGUGCCCAGAUGGGAUUAGCUAGUAGGUGGGGUAAAGGCUCACCAAGGCGACGAUCCCUAGCUGGUCUGAGAGGAUGACCAGCCACACUGGAACUGAGACACGGCCCAGACGCCUACGGGAGGCAGCAGUGGGGAAUUUGGCACAAUGGGCGCAAGCCUGAUGCAGCCAUGCCGCGUGUGUGAAGAAGGCCUUCGGGUUUUAAAGUACUUUCAGCGGGGAGGCGUUACCCGCAGAAGAAGCACCGGCUAACUCCGUGCCAGCAGCCGCGGUAAUUC
rnacentral:rRNA from 1 species